rnacentral:rRNA from 1 species
GUGAGUGAUGAAGGCUUUCGGGUCGUAAAGCUCUGUCAAGUGGGAAGAACAAGCCUGAUGUUAAUACCAUCAGGAACUGACGGUACCACUGAAGGAAGCACCGGCUAACUCCGUGCCAGCAGCCGCGGUAAUACGGGGGGUGCAAGCGUUAUUCGGAAUCAUUGGGCGUAAAGAGCGCGUAGGCGGCCCUUUAAGUCAGAUGUGAAAGCCCGGGGCUUAACCCCGGAAGUGCAUUUGAAACUAUUGGGCUUGAGUAUGGGAGAGGGAAGCGGAAUUCCUGGUGUAGAGGUGAAAUUCGUAGAUAUCAGGAGGAACAUCGGUGGCGAAGGCGGCUUCCUGGACCAAUACUGACGCUGAGGCGCGAAGGCGUGGGGAGCGAACAGGAUUAGAUACCCUGGUAGUCCACGCAGUAAACGUUGAACACUAGGUGUAGCGGGUAUUGACCCCUGCUGUGCCGCAGUUAACGCAUUAA